CGCUCCUUGUCCCUCCUCCUCCUCCCCCCUGCUCCUCCCCCAUCAUGUUCUCCAGAUGAAGUUCGCACUGGCACCUACCGCCAACUCUUCCACCCUGAGCAACUCAUCACAGGCAAGGAAGAUGCUGCCAAUAACUAUGCCCGAGGGCACUACACCAUUGGCAAGGAGAUCAUUGACCUCGUGUUGGACCGAAUUCGCAAGCUGGCUGACCAGUGCACCGGUCUUCAGGGCUUCUUGGUUUUCCACAGCUUUGGUGGGGGAACUGGUUCUGGGUUCACCUCCCUGCUCAUGGAACGUCUCUCAGUUGAUUAUGGCAAGAAGUCCAAGCUGGAGUUCUCCAUUUACCCAGCGCCCCAGGUUUCCACAGCUGUAGUUGAGCCCUACAACUCCAUCCUCACCACCCACACCACCCUGGAGCACUCUGAUUGUGCCUUCAUGGUAGACAAUGAGGCCAUCUAUGACAUCUGUCGUAGAAACCUCGAUAUCGAGCGCCCAACCUACACUAACCUUAACCGCCUUAUUAGCCAGAUUGUGUCCUCCAUCACUGCUUCCCUGAGAUUUGAUGGAGCCCUGAAUGUUGACCUGACAGAAUUCCAGACCAACCUGGUGCCCUACCCCCGCAUCCACUUCCCUCUGGCCACAUAUGCCCCUGUCAUCUCUGCUGAGAAAGCCUACCAUGAACAGCUUACUGUAGCAGAGAUCACCAAUGCUUGCUUUGAGCCAGCCAACCAGAUGGUGAAAUGUGACCCUCGCCAUGGUAAAUACAUGGCUUGCUGCCUGUUGUACCGUGGUGACGUGGUUCCCAAAGAUGUCAAUGCUGCCAUUGCCACCAUCAAGACCAAGCGUACCAUCCAGUUUGUGGAUUGGUGCCCCACUGGCUUCAAGGUUGGCAUUAAUUACCAGCCUCCCACUGUGGUGCCUGGCGGAGACCUGGCCAAGGUACAGAGAGCUGUGUGCAUGCUGAGCAACACCACAGCUGUUGCCGAGGCCUGGGCUCGCCUGGACCACAAGUUUGACCUGAUGUAUGCCAAGCGUGCCUUUGUUCACUGGUACGUGGGUGAGGGGAUGGAGGAAGGCGAGUUUUCAGAGGCCCGUGAGGACAUGGCUGCCCUUGAGAA
rnacentral:sRNA from 1 species